ACGUGUUGAUGGAACUGUUGUCGAGAAAACUGGCAUGGACUUGUGAGAUCUCUCUAGGUACACGCAGAAAGCAGGGUAAAAGCCUGGGGAAUAACAGUAAUCUUGUAUUGAUUUAAGAAUGAUUAAAGAAAUGAAAUACAAAAUACAUAACUGUGUAAUAGUUUAAAUGGUUGAUGUA